CGCCCUGUGGGAAGACAACAGCCGCCCGCCGUGCGGAGUGGUGAACCGGCUGCUGGCAGAGGUGUCCCAGGACCUGACGGCAGCCCAGGGCGUGACUGGCAAUAUGAAGACAGCUGCCAGCAAUGUCCUGGUGGCUCUGGCUCGGACGCACUUCACCUUGGUGAUGGCCGAGCUCCAGAGCCACCUGAAGGCCACGGGGGACAUGUGCAAGGAGUUUGUGCUCGUCACCCUGAGCAAACUCUUCAGCACCUAUGCUCCGCAGUGCAUCCCUUCCUAUGUGGC